rnacentral:misc_RNA from 1 species
CCAAACUUGGUCAUUUAGAGGAAGUAAAAGUCGUAACAAGGUUUCCGUAGGUGAACCUGCGGAAGGAUCAUUAUUGAAUACCACUUGAUAGGUUGUAGCUGGCUCUUAGGAGCAUGUGCACGCCUGUCUUGGACUCUAUUCAUCCACCUGUGCACUAUUUGUAGUCUUUGGAGAAUGAUAUGAAACAACGUCGGUUGACAGACCGGAGUAGAGGAAUGCUUGAGCAAUAUCAAUGUACAGGCUCUCCUCAGUAUGUUGUGAAGUCUCCCUCUAAAGUCUAUGUUUUUAUUCAUUAACCAAGUAUGUUGUCGAAUGUAUUCAUUGGGCUAUAAUGCCUAUACAAUAUUAUACAACUUUCAGCAAUGGAUCUCUUGGCUCUCGCAUCGAUGAAGAACGCAGC